GUGGGGAAUAUUGCACAAUGGGGGAAACCCUGAUGCAGCGACGCCGCGUGAGUGAAGAAGUAUUUCGGUAUGUAAAGCUCUAUCAGCAGGGAAGAGAAUGACGGUACCUGAGUAAGAAGCCCCGGCUAACUACGUGCCAGCAGCCGCGGUAAUACGUAGGGGGCAAGCGUUAUCCGGAUUUACUGGGUGUAAAGGGAGCGUAGACGGCGAAGAAAGUCUGAAGUGAAAGCCCGCGGCUUAACCGCGGAACUGCUUUGGAAACUUUUUUGCUGGAGUACCGGAGAGGUAAGCGGAAUUCCUAGUGUAGCGGUGAAAUGCGUAGAUAUUAGGAGGAACACCAGUGGCGAAGGCGGCUUACUGGACGGUAACUGACGUUGAGGCUCGAAAGCGUGGGGAGCAAACAGG
rnacentral:rRNA from 1 species